CACCCUCGAGCCCCGGUGGCUUGGACCUGGGCCGCGUCUCCGGACCGGCCUGAAAGUGAGCGUCCUCCCGUCGUGUUCGGAGUCCACGUUGAGACUUCUGGGCCCGUCGCGGCGAGAGGCGUCCCCCUAAACUUCAU
rnacentral:misc_RNA from 1 species